GGGGUUGUGGCUCAGUGGUAGAGGGCUCACUUAACAUGGGUGAGGCACUGGGUUUGAUUCUCAGCACCACA
rnacentral:tRNA from 1 species